rnacentral:rRNA from 1 species
CGCUAUCACUCCUACGGGAGGCAGCAGUGGGGAAUAUUGCACAAUGGGGGAAACCCUGAUGCAGCCAUGCCGCGUGUGUGAAGAAGGCCUUCGGGUUGUAAAGCAUUUCAGUAGGGAGGAAGGUAGUGUAGUUAACACCUGCAUUAUUUGACGUUACCUACAGAAGAAGCACCGGCUAACUCCGUGCCAGCAGCCGCGGUAAUACGGAGGGUGCGAGCGUUAAUCGGAAUUACUGGGCGUAAAGCGCAUGCAGGCGGCCUGUUAAGUCAGAUGUGAAAGCCCGGGGCUUAACCUCGGAAUUGCAUUUUGAAAACUGGCAGGCUAGAGUCUUGUAGAGGGGGGUAGAAUUUUCAGGUGUAGCGGUGAAAAUGCGUAGAGAUCUGAAGGAAUACCAGUGGCGAAGGCGGCCCCCUGGACAAAGACUGACGCUCAGAUGCGAAAAGCGUGGGGAGCAAACAGGAUUAGAUACCCCUGGUAG